GUCUGGUUGUAUUGGCGCAGUGGUGAUCAAGGCUUAAUUCAACAUGAAUACCUGUUGGAGGCUUUGUCAAACAUCAGCCUAAUCAGCUUUCACAGGCCACAAUUGCAAGAACAAGCAGAGUUCUUUGUGAAUCUGUUCUGUGCCGCUGCAGAGAGAGAAAAGCAGACAGGAGAGAAGAUUCUGGACCUCUUGAAACCAGUUUGGAAAUAUAAAACAUUGCCUUCAAAUCACCUAAACAGGAAUAAAUAUCAGAGUGACUUCCUGCUGGAUCUUUACUCCCAGCUGAAGGACUGUGAGACUAAAACAGGUCUGAGUCUCCUUCCAUCAUUACAGUCAGUUUUCCAGUCAGCUCCUCCAGUCUGGAUCAUAAAGCUCUCAGAGAGAAAGACCUCCAUCCUCCUGGAAGUGUUGAAGCUCCAAUCAGAGAAGAAACCAGUGAAGCUGAAAGGCUGCACGCAUGAAGAGAUUGAAGUGAGGAGUUUCCUACAGUGUCUGCCUUAUAUC